rnacentral:misc_RNA from 1 species
AUGCAACAAGAAAUAGGUCUGAGAUCUUUAUGAGCAUAGUCACUCAGAAUCAUUACUUUCCUUGACUCUCAUAUUUGCAAGGAUAUCCAUACAAGAAUAGUUAAAAACAUGAACCAACUUCAUACUAAUUAAGCUUCUGUAAUGAAAGGAAACAAUCCUCAAAAUUAAAGACAAUUGCAAAGAGUUACAAGUUCUUGAUUUUAGGAGAUAAUCACCUCAAUGACACAUUCCUCAUGUGGUUGGAAUUUUGCAAGUUUUAAACUUGCAAUCAAAUCAACUGCAUGGAUCCAUUAGAACUUCAAAAAAUUGACAACAUGCCCCCCCACUUUCGAAUCUUAAAUCUAUCUUACAUGUCUUCUCGGAAAACUUACCUACGAGUUUGUUUCAACAUUUGAAAGUCAUGUCAAAUUGAUCAAAUAAUGAAGUACUAGAACAUCUUUAUCUUGGAGAAGGAUAUUACCAAAAAUUAGAUAACAGUUGUAAGCAGGAGCCUGGAGCUUGAACUUGUUAGAAUUUUUGACUGCUUAAACCAAUAUUUUGAUCUUUUAAGAAACAAAUUUGAGGGCAUAUUCCAAGCAUUAUGGGAGAUCUUAUGGCAAUUCACACGUUGAACUUAUCUCAUAGUGAAUUGCAAGGUCA